AGAGUUUGAUUCUGGCUCAGAACGAACGCUGGCAGCGUGGAUUAGGCAUGCAAGUCGAGCGAGAAUUCACAGCCUCAAGUUUUCGGACAAGAGGCCGUGGAGGAAAGCGGCGGAAGGGUGAGUAACGCGUAGGCAAUCUGCCUUCAAGUUGGGGAUAACCCGGCGAGAGCUGGACUAAUACCGAAUGUGACCGGUCUGGGGCAUCCCGGGCCGUUUAAAGAUGGGGAUCCUUCGGGACCUGUCGCUUGUUGAGGAGCCUGCGUCCUAUCAGCUUGUUGGUGAGGUAAUGGCUCACCAAGGCUUACGGGUAGCUGGUCUGAGAGGAUGGUCAGCCACACUGGGACUGAGAUACUGCCCAGACUCCUACGGGAGGCUGCAGUCGAGGAUCAUUCGCAAUGCGCGAAAGCGUGACGAUGCGACGCUGCGUGGAGGAUGAAGGCCUUCGGGUCGUAAACUCCUGUCAUUCGGGAACAAUGUCGCCGGGGGAAUAUCCCGGUGAAGUGAUAGUACCGAAAGAGGAAGCCACGGCUAACUCUGUGCCAGCAGCCGCGGUAAUACAGAGGUGGCGAGCGUUGUUCGGAUUUACUGGGCGUAAAGGGUGCGUAGGCGGUUCCGUGUGUCGGAUGUGAAAUCUCACUGCUCAACGGUGAAACUGCAUUCGAAACUGCGGAACUAGAGUACAGGAGAGGAGAGCGGAAUUCUUGGUGUAGCGGUGAAAUGCGUUGAUAUCAAGAGGAACACCGGUGGCGAAGGCGGCUCUCUGGAAUGAUACUGACGCUGAGGCACGAAAGCUGGGGGAGCAAACAGGAUUAGAUACCCUGGUAGUCCCAGCCCUAAACGGUGUACACUUGGUGUGGGGCGGUGUUGAACCCCGUCCCGUGCCGUAGCUAACGCGAUAAGUGUACCGCCUGGGGAGUACGGCCGCAAGGCUAAAACUCAAAGAAAUUGACGGGGGCCCGCACAAGCGGAGGAGCAUGUGGCUUAAUUCGAUGCAACGCGAAGAACCUUACCAGGGCUUGACAUGCAGAGUUCAAUGCGUGAAAGCGCAUGGCCGCAAGGCGAUCUGCACAGGUGCUGCAUGGCUGUCGUCAGUUCGUGCCGUGAGGUGUUGGGUUAAGUCCCGCAACGAACGCAACCCUUGUGCUCUGUUGCCAGCCCCGUAGCAAUGCGGGGGGCACUCUGAGCAGACUGCCCGUGACAAGCGGGAGGAAGGUGGGGAUGACGUCAAGUCAGUAUGGCCCUUACGCCCUGGGCUGCACACGUGCUACAAUGACCGGUACAGUGCGAUGCAAUACCGCGAGGUGGAGCAAAUCACCAAAGCCGGCCUCAGUUCGGAUUGGAGUCUGAAACUCGACUCCAUGAAGUCGGAUUCG
rnacentral:rRNA from 1 species